rnacentral:rRNA from 1 species
UACGUAGGGGGCAAGCGUUGUCCGGAAUCAUUGGGCGUAAAGCGCGCGUAGGCGGCUAGAUCAGUCUGCUGUAAAAGUCAAAGGCUCAACCUUUGAAAGCCGGUGGAUACUGUCUAGCUAGAGUCCGGAAGAGGCGAGUGGAAUUCCUGGUGUAGCGGUGGAAUGCGUAGAGAUCCGGAAGAACACCGGUGGCGAAGGCGGUGAGCUGGGCAGUUGCUGACACUGAGGCGCGACAGCGUGGGGAGCAAACAGG